AGGUCAAGAUAAUAAGGGCAUAAGGCGGAUGCCUUGGCACCAAGAGUCGAAGAAGGACGGGACAAGCACCGAAAUGCUUCGGGGAGUCGCAAAUAGGCUAAGAUCCGGAGAUAUCCGAAUGGGGGAACCCACUUGAGAAGACCUCAAGUAUCACUAGCUGAAUAAAAUAGGCAAGUGAGGACAACCAGGGGAACUGAAACAUCUAAGUACCCUGAGGAAAAGAAAGAAACAUCGAUUUCCUAAGUAGCGGCGAGCGAAAGGGAAAGAGCCCAAACCGAGCAAUCGGGGUUGAGGGGUUUGUAAGAAGUAAUUUAGUAAAGGUAGCUGAAUAAGCUGGGAAGCUUAACCAUAGAAGGUGAAAGUCCUGUAAGCGAAACCUUGAAAGAUGAAAGCAAACACCCAGAGUACCAUGGGACACGAGAAAUCCCGUGGGAAGCAGGGAGGACCACCUCCCAAGGCUAAAUACUACUUGGUGACCGAUAGAGAAGAAGUACCGUGAGGGAAAGGUGAAAAGAACCCCGGGAGGGGAGUGAAAAAGAACCUGAAACCUUAUGCCUACAAGCAGUGGGAGCACGUUAAAAGUGUGACCGCGUACUUUUUGUAGAACGGGCCAGCGAGUUAUGAUAUGCAGCAAGGUUAAGUACUAGAAGGUACGGAGC
rnacentral:rRNA from 1 species